GAUUUAUGCUAUGUUCGGACCGACAUUGAAAACAUGUUUUCGGGGGAAAAAGUGGUUUUCGCAUGAAAACUUGUGUUUUCGUCCAUGUAAAAUCUGUCAAACGAAAACACAGUUUUCGCUGAAAACUACUUGAAAACUUACAUUCCACUCACUAUAAUCGGUGCCUGCUCUAGUUUAAUCGAUUUUUUUGGAAGACAUAUUUUGCUGCCCCUAAAUUGCUACUAUAUAUUUGUUUACAUUCCAUAUAAAAAUACAGCUGCUCACUGUUAAGGGGAUUCUCUUGUUCUUGAAAAACCAUUGCAUGGUGCAUCAAUUGCAGAAUUUUCUUCUUGGUGCAACGGCACAACAAACACACGCAAAAAUUUGUUUGCAAUAGCCGUAAAAUAUGUCAGACCAAAACCCAUGUUUAUUUUCGUACCGUCAUAUAUCACUAGAUUCUGCAAUGGGUGCUCUUUUGGCCUUGCAUAUUUUGGUAUAGGAUUUUUGCAUUUUGUGUCAUCGUGCAAUCUUGCAAGAGCAAGAGAAUACCCGUAUUGAUAGUUGUCAGUGAAAACUCAGCGAAAACAUAAAUUGUCGGUCCGAACGACUUACAUUCCACAAGAUACAAAUGUGUUUUCAAAAUGUUUUCAAUGUCGGUCCGAACAUAGUAUAAAGUAGAUUUGGCCAAAUAUUUUUUUUCAUAUCAUACCGAUAUAUCGAUAUUUUUAAAUAAAAUAUUCAAAAAUGACCGAUACAAUAUAUAUCGAUACUUUAUUCCAUUUCCAACAUCCCUAAUCCAAACUAAUCAUGCAUAGCGUCGUUUUGUUGGUUAUGUCAAGACCUUUCAAAGAUGUAUAGUAUUGUCAUAUCCGCUAAAUUCUGUUAUUUGAAAAGUCCUUGUGGUUGAAAUAUAUUAUUAUAAUAUCAUUAUAAAAUAAAAAUGGCUUAAACAUAGAUCGAAUGGUCAUUAUACGAGUUACUAUCAUUGAGUGCGGUUAACAUCCAAGUGUGCUCCGCAAUUGCGACAAUUUGCAAAUAAACCAAUCUGUGGUAAUUCGUGGGUGUGUGUGCCGUGGGAGGCAUUCAUUUUGUCAACACGUUUCACAUCGAUUUCCUUGGAAACUCAUUCAAAUCAAAUCACAUUUUUAAUCGAAGUUUGGUUUUUUAAACAAUGACAAAUCAUAUAAACACUCAAAUAAUUAAUUUUCGUGGGGAAAAAAGUGUUGUUUCUCCUUCUUUUACACGUUAUUUCUGUGUAUUAAAUCAGCUGUUCUGUUCGAACAAUUUCCAAUUGCAAUCAGCGCUGCCAUACUGGCAAAAAACCUGCACAUUUAAACUGCAUUAUCGACAAAAUGUCAGGUUUCUAAUACCCAGUAGAGAAUUCAUUAUAAAAUAAAAAUGGCUUAACCUCUUUAUGAGGUCAAAUAUACGAAACCGAUGAAAACGAGCUAAAGAAACUGAGUAGAUAUUCAAAAAAAAGCACUCUUCAAAAAAUGCAAAGUUGAUACUUCUCCAACAAUUGUCAGCCCUUCGAAAAAUAAAAAUAAAGACCAGGUGGCCAACAAUGAUACUAAAACCCACCGCCCAUCUCAUAUUAUAAGAAGGACGUAAAGGAUUUUAAUAAAUUACGUUUUAAUAUUACAGAUCUAAUAAAUAACAACAUUUUAAUAAAGCUUUUCAGCAACGGCGCCUACAAACUUAUAGCGGGAUUCUGUAAGCAGUCUCUAGUCUCUAUUUGAGACAUUUUGAGGUAAAGUCUCAAUUUGAGACUAGUUACUAUUCACAAUACAGUCUCUAGUAUCAAGUCUCCAAACAUUGUCUCAAAUUUUGUCAGCUGGUAAUAAGCAGGGCACAAACGUAUUAAGAAAAGAGAAAACCAGCAAUGGACGAAGAAGUCGCAGCUUUUUUGUUAAUUUUACAAACUUAUGAAAAUGAAGAGAGAAAUGCAAACAGGAGGAAUUUGGCGCACUUAAGGAAUAGUGAGAAUCCUUUUUUAUUGAAGGAAGGAACAUUUAGAAAAUAUUUUCGUUUUCCGAAAUCGUUGUGUUGGGACCUUAUGCAGGAUUUGAAACCUCACGACAAUCGUUUCCGAAAGUGUGCUAUUCCUUUUGAGAUUCGGUUCGUUUCAGUGCUAUAUUUUUUCAAAUGGCUCAUACCAAUACUGCAUUGGAAAUAGCCUUUUAUCUGCCAUGAGUCAACCUAGCAUAUCCCGAAGUAUAAGGUUCCAACACAAGUUUACAUACACAUAUAUAAUAGUAUACUUGUGUUGGAACACAAAAAUGUGGAAAUAAGCUUUCCAAAUGCAACAGAGCACUACAAAACAAUUCAAAUGGGGUAAAAUAUAUAUAUGUAUACGAGUUAAAUUAAAACAUAAAAAUAUUUAUAGUUUCCAUAAUAAGUUUGGAAUAAAAGGAGUGAUUGGUGUUAUUGAUUGCGCCCAUGUUACUAUAAUUGGACCGUCUUCGUCAUCUCACGUUAUUCCACAUGAAUACAUGAACCGAAAGGGUUACUACAGUAUUAAUGUAGAAGCGGUAGUUUAAAAUAUUAAUUUAAUAUAAUUAAUAUAUGUAUGUAUAUAUGAAUUUUAUAUUUGUGACGACAAACUUAUUUUUCGCCAUUUAAAUGCUCGUUUUCCUGGCUCAUGCCAUGACUCCGAAAUUUGGAGAACAUCGCCGGCCAGAAUAAAAUUAUUAAGGUAAUAUGUUUCUGGUUCAUUUAAGCGGCUUCUAGGUGACUCAGGAUAUCCACUAGAGCCAUGGCUUUUGGCUCCUAUAUCAAACUCAUCUGCACCAAAUAAAGUUCUUUAUAACAGAAUCCAUAUAACGGCCAGGAACAUAAUUGGAAGAGCCUUUGGUGUUUUAAAGUCUCGUUUCCGUUGCUUAUCUUAAGACUUCCGAUAGCUUUAAAAUAGCACUUGCCAUAUUGUUCAAAGACUCCGCAACAUUUUGGAAAAACAUUUGUCAGCAAACAUUUCCUGUGAAGUCUGCCUUCGAGAACGUGAAGUUGAUGGCAUCUCACUUACAU